rnacentral:lncRNA from 1 species
AAAACACUCACUCUGGAAGCCUUAAGCUGCCAUGUAAGAAAUUCAACUACCCUGAGGCCUCUGUGCUGCAGAAGUCACAUGUGGGCACCUUAGUCAACAGUCUCAGCUCUCCAGUCAUCCAUACUAAGGUACCAGACAUGUGAGUGAAGCCAUCUAGGAUCCUCCAGACCAGUCCAUCCACCAGCUGAGAGUAACUUCAGUCAUGUGGGACAGAAGAAUCAUCCAGCCAAGCCCUGCCAGAAUUCCUGACCCACAAAAUUGCCCUGCCUGGGUGCCUGGGGAAGCAACUCACCUUUCUGAAAACUCUGCUAGAGAAUAUUACCAGUCCCUUGAAGGAAAGCAAGACAACUCUGAGAGGACCAGCUUCUGGCUAGCUGUCCCCCUGCCCCCCGCCACAUUUCCACAUCAGGGUCAGAGGACAUCGGAUAGAAGGA